rnacentral:rRNA from 1 species
UACGUAGGUGGCAAGCGUUGUCCGGAUUUACUGGGCGUAAAGCGAACGCAGGCGGACUUUUAAGUAGGAAGUGAAAGGUUGGAGCUCAACUCCGACACUGCUCCCUAUACUGGAAGUCUUGAGUUCUGGAGAGGAAAGCGGAACGACACGUGUAGCGGUGAAAUGCGUUGAUAUGUGUCGGAACACCGAUGGCGAAAGCAGCUUUCUGGACAGCAACUGACGCUGAGGUUCGAAAGCCAAGGGAGCGAACAGG